CUGCAACCUAUAAAUACGCAGGCUACAACACUACAACCCAAAACACAAACUUGCUUUUGAGCGACAACUAGAGAAAAAGAUAACAGUAUAAUAAGGAUUGAAACGGAGAAGAAUACGAAGGAAAUAUUUCACAGUUAUACCUUUGAAUCUGUAGAGAAUGGAUCUUCUUGGUUGGAUGACAUUCAUAACGGUGAAUGUAAUGUUGCUUAUGUCGCUUUUAACCAACACAAGCGCUGGCAAGUUUAAUGCUUGUCGGGAAAAUGCAAGAACGGGCACGUGCGAUGACGUCAUAAUGAGAAGUGUAGGACCAUAUGAAUAUGAGAUAAGUCUAUGUCAGGGACUGUACGGGGGACAGUGUCUUCGGUUACCUUGGAAUAAGAAAUGCUCAUGCUUAAGAAAGCGCGUUGUCUAGAAAAGAACCAAGGUUUUCAUAGACCGCUCCAGUAUUAAAAAGAAUUUAAAAAAUGGCAUAUCACUGUUGCAUCGAAGAGUAAACACUUUUCAUCACUUGUGUAGCAUAGACUUAUUUUAACUGUUCCAAUUAAGGUACAAGUGUUAUUUCAUUUAAUGUAUAAUGUGUGUCAGUUAUUAAUGGUAUCAACAUUAUCAAUAUUGCAUUGAAUCAUUAGUCUUGUU